rnacentral:rRNA from 1 species
UUGGAGGGCAAGUCUGGUGCCAGCAGCCGCGGUAAUUCCAGCUCCAAUAGCGUAUAUUAAAGUUGUUGCAGUUAAAAAGCUCGUAGUUGAACUUCAGGCCUGGUUGGGCGGUCCGCUUAACGGCGUGUACUGUCCGACUGGGUCUUACCUCUUGGUGAACCGGCGUGCCCUUUAUUGGGUGCGUCGGGGAACCAGGACUUUUACCUUGAGAAAAUUAGAGUGUUCAAAGCAGGCCUAUGCCUGAAUACAUUAGCAUGGAAUAAUAAAAUAGGACGUGCGGUUCUAUUUUGUUGGUUUCUAGAGUCGCCGUAAUGAUUAAUAGGGAUAGUUGGGGGCAUUGGUAUUGAGUCGCUAGAGGUGAAAUUCUUGGAUUGACUCAAGACCGACUAUUACGAAAGCAUUUGCCAAGGAUGUUUUCAUUAAUCAAGAACGAAGGUUAGGGGAUCGAAAACGAUCAGAUACCGUUGUAGUCUUAACAGUAAACUAUGCCGACUAGGGAUCGGACAACCUCAAUUUUGAUGUGUUGUUCGGCACCUUACGGGAAAC